UUUGAUCAUGGCUCAGAUUGAACGCUGGCGGCAUGCCUUACACAUGCAAGUCGAACGGCAGCACGGGAGCAAUCCUGGUGGCGAGUGGCGAACGGGUGAGUAAUACAUCGGAACGUGCCCAAUCGUGGGGGAUAACGCAGCGAAAGCUGUGCUAAUACCGCAUAAGAUCUACGGAUGAAAGCAGGGGAUCGCAAGACCUUGCGCGAAUGGAGCGGCCGAUGGCAGAUUAGGUAGUUGGUGAGGUAAAGGCUCACCAAGCCUUCGAUCUGUAGCUGGUCUGAGAGGACGACCAGCCACACUGGGACUGAGACACGGCCCAGACUCCUACGGGAGGCAGCAGUGGGGAAUUUUGGACAAUGGGCGCAAGCCUGAUCCAGCCAUGCCGCGUGCAGGAUGAAGGCCUUCGGGUUGUAAACUGCUUUUGUACGGAACGAAACGGCUCUUUCUAAUAAAGAGGGCUAAUGACGGUACCGUAAGAAUAAGCACCGGCUAACUACGUGCCAGCAGCCGCGGUAAUACGUAGGGUGCAAGCGUUAAUCGGAAUUACUGGGCGUAAAGCGUGCGCAGGCGGUGAUGUAAGACAGUUGUGAAAUCCCCGGGCUCAACCUGGGAACUGCAUCUGUGACUGCAUCGCUGGAGUGCGGCAGAGGGGGAUGGAAUUCCGCGUGUAGCAGUGAAAUGCGUAGAUAUGCGGAGGAACACCGAUGGCGAAGGCAAUCCCCUGGGCCUGCACUGACGCUCAUGCACGAAAGCGUGGGGAGCAAACAGGAUUAGAUACCCUGGUAGUCCACGCCCUAAACGAUGUCAACUGGUUGUUGGGUCUUCACUGACUCAGUAACGAAGCUAACGCGUGAAGUUGACCGCCUGGGGAGUACGGCCGCAAGGUUGAAGCUCAAAGGAAUUGACGGGGACCCGCACAAGCGGUGGAUGAUGUGGUUUAAUUCGAUGCAACGCGAAAAACCUUACCCACCUUUGACAUGUACGGAAUUUGCCAGAGAUGGCUUAGUGCUCGAAAGAGAACCGUAACACAGGUGCUGCAUGGCUGUCGUCAGCUCGCGUCGUGAGAUGUUGGGUUAAGUCCCGCAACGAGCGCAACCCUUGUCAUUAGUUGCUACAUUUAGUUGGGCACUCUAGUGAGACUGCCGGUGACAAACCGGAGGAAGGUGGGGAUGACGUCAAGUCCUCAUGGCCCUUAUAGGUGGGGCUACACACGUCAUACAAUGGCUGGUACAAAGGGUUGCCAACCCGCGAGGGGGAGCUAAUCCCAUAAAACCAGUCGUAGUCCGGAUCGCAGUCUGCAACUCGACUGCGUGAAGUCGGAAUCGCUAGUAAUCGUGGAUCAGAAUGUCACGGUGAAUACGUUCCCGGGUCUUGUACACACCGCCCGUCACACCAUGGGAGCGGGUUCUGCCAGAAGUAGUUAGCCUAACCGCAAGGAGGGCGAUUACCACGGCAGGGUUCGUGACUGGGGUGAAGUCGUAACAAGGUA
rnacentral:rRNA from 1 species